GACACUUUGGCCGAGUGGUUAAGGCGAUGCCCUGCGUACGUAGCAACUCACUAAUAUCUGAAUCUAACUCAAUCACUAACCUAUGAUAAAUAGUAAGGCAUUACAUUCGUGUGCGCAGGUUCGAAUCCUGCAGGUGUCG
rnacentral:tRNA from 1 species